AGUGCGCCCAGGACCGAGCAGUGCCUGGAGGCUCUCCCUGCGUCCCGCGCGCAGUGGGCGUUACUAACCGACAGCACCCGCCUCUGGGAGCUCAGAUACACUGAUGCUUCAGGAACUGUGGACCCUCCGACCCAGCCCCUGUUAAUGUUGAAGGACCAGGGAAUAUGAAUCUAGGUAGCUGCGGCUGUGGCCCUAGUUAAGGACCAUGAGAAGCGUGGUGGAGAAUGUGUUUCCAGCUCACCAAAGUAAAAAAAAAAAAGACCACCCGACUGCGCAGAUUCGCAGUCGAGUUGAAUCGAUCUGGAAAAAAAAUGAAUCGGUACACGUUAAUUUGAACCAAAUCUCCCAAGGGCCAAGACUAAAGGAUCACCAAAGGAGAUCACCACACGGGGUAUGAGUUCCUGCGAAUCUGAGGCCAGCUAUUCAAUAUCACUUGGAACCUGCGAUUUAGGUAACAUCCAGAUCUCCUUCCCAAAUGAAGGACCGUGGCACAGGUGUCCUUGGAUGACCUGAAACUCACAUCGAGCCGCCUGGCUUUCGACUUGUGGGCAGGAUUACUGCAUCAGCUUUCAGAGUGCUGGGAUUUUAGGCAUGUGCCACCAUGCAGAGCUCUGUUUUGUAUUUUGAGACAGGGUCUCACUUUCUAGCCCAGCUGAGUUUCAGCAAGCUGCCUGCCCUGGCCUCUAGAGUGCUGGGUUUUCAGGUGUUUACGGCCACACCCAAUUUACUUUCCGUAUCUUAGGAUGUUUUGGCAUUUCCCAAAGCUUGAAGGCUUGGGGGAGGUUUAUGCUGUUAGGGUAGGUCAUCGUUUGGGGCCACCAAAAAAACAAAAAACAACAAACAAACAAACAAACGCUCUCUACCAGGGGCGUGGCUGUCUUGAACAAACUAACCAGUCCUGAGUCUCUAUUCCUGACAAUUUCCUGACUUAAGUCUCACACUCAAACCAGCUUUUCUCUUCUUCUAACUUACCCAGAGCCAGGUAUCAGGCGACAAGCCACCACUUCUGUACAGAAACCCACUGAACUGGCUAGUUCGCCACGGCUGAGCACCUUGCUGUGCCCAGGUUUGCUUUUCCCUUAGAAAUGCCAGAAACGUCGCUCCCUGGGACUUUCCUCCACGUUCCUGCUUCUUUGUUUUAAGAGCUUGGGAUACUCUGCAGCUUCCCACGUAGCCUACUGACCUUGAGCUUGUGAUUCUCCUGUGUCAGGCUCCUGAGUGCUGAGACGGCACGUGCAUGUCGGCACCCCAAGCAUCUUCCCGUGCACUUGUGUCCUACACAUCAGACGGAUGUGGUGCUCACCCCUGGCCCUGCCUAGCCAGGGUGCACCCUCUUCUCUGGGUAGGAUCUGUGACUGUAGAACCAUCUUCCUUCAUGUUUCCUUCUGGUCCCCUCCUAGGGCUCUAAGAGUUUUACCAUCCCACCAUCAAUGUCUGCAUCCUUAACAAGUACCGGUGUCUAGGAAAGUGGCCAUGAAGACACAGGACAGAUGAUAAGCCAAAAGUCUUAACUCACCUUGAGAAAUAGAUGAAAGAAACUCGGAGACUAUUGGGAACUCUCCUCUUUGAGUUGUGAUCCUCUUAGUGGUGGGCUGGCAACAGACUUGACCACAGGAGUCAGAGGUCCUAGGACCUGAUGACUUGGUCACCAUCUGUCACACCAAUAAGCCUUCUAGAAAAAAAGAUGAGGGGUUGUUAUUAAAAAAGGAUACUAGGGACCAAAAGAAUGGCUCAAUGGGUAAACAGUAAUGACUCAAGCUCUGUCCCCAAGACCCAUACAUUAGAACAAGUUGACUCUUCCAAGUGUCCUCUGAUCUCCACAUGUGCACGGAGGCCUGCAUGCCUACUGCCAACACACAUAAAAUGAAUGAAUGUAGUAAAACAUUUAUAGAAAGGGCAUUAGGACUGAGGAACAACGUGUUUUCUAUAUAUUUCUUCAGUUUUGUCAGAAAUAUUUUCCAUGUAAAUCUUCAAUUUUAUAAAAUGUUUUUACUUUUUCAAUUAAAAAAAGAAGCAGAGUGCUGCCCUAGUGUGCAGGAAGCUAUGCGUUCCUUCUGCCAAGACACAUAAAGGGCAGUUCGGAGCUCCGUCCUACACCCCUUCACUCCUGAGGUACGGGUAGCUGGCUCAGGAGUUGUCUUCUCUGGUGACAUAGUGAGUCCUUUGUUAUCCUACAUGGCUCCAUGAGACCAUAAAACGCCAUUAAAGGCUCUCCCUCAGAAUCUC